UCAAAUAGACAGAAAUGCAGAAAACGUGAACAAGGUCGCCAGAGGAAAUAAUUAACUGCAAUAGAAUUAUUUUAGAUUUAACAACCGAGCCACCAUGUGUAUACGUCCCUGACGAAGAUAAAGAUCUGAGGCCUUGCGCAAUGGAAGAAAUAUUAAACAGGAAUAAAUAUUAAAUUUUGGAAAUAAGAAUUUAAAAUAAAGAUUAAACAUAACACAAUGUACAAUAGCAUGAUGAACAUAAAUAAGUAUAUGAUAUAGCUAUA